rnacentral:rRNA from 1 species
AUGACGCUGGCGGCAUGCCUUACACAUGCAAGUCGAACGGCAGCAUGAUCUAGCUUGCUAGAUUGAUGGCGAGUGGCGAACGGGUGAGUAAUACAUCGGAACGUGCCCUGUAGUGGGGGAUAACUAGUCGAAAGAUUAGCUAAUACCGCAUACGACCUGAGGGUGAAAGUGGGGGAUCGCAAGGCCUCAUGCUAUAGGAGCGGCCGAUGUCUGAUUAGCUAGUUGGUGGGGUAAAGGCCCACCAAGGCGACGAUCAGUAGCUGGUCUGAGAGGACGAUCAGCCACACUGGGACUGAGACACGGCCCAGACUCCUACGGGAGGCAGCAGUGGGGAAUUUUGGACAAUGGGGGCAACCCUGAUCCAGCAAUGCCGCGUGUGUGAAGAAGGCCUUCGGGUUGUAAAGCACUUUUGUCCGGAAAGAAAUCGCACUUACUAAUAUUAGGUGUGGAUGACGGUACCGGAAGAAUAAGGACCGGCUAACUACGUGCCAGCAGCCCGCGGUAAUACGUAGGGUCCAAGCGUUAAUCGGAAUUACUGGGCGUAAAGCGUGCGCAGGCGGUUGUGCAGACCGAUGUGAAAUCCCCGGGCUUAACCUGGGAAUUGCAUUGGUGACUGCACGCUAGAGUGUGUCAAAGGGGGGUAGAAUUCCACGUGUACCAGUGAAAUGCGUANAGAUGUGGAGGAUACCGAUGGCGAAAGCAGCCCCUGGAUACACUGACGGUCAUGCACGAAAGCGUGGGAGCAACAGAUUAGAUACCCUGGUAGUCCACGCCCUAACGAUGUCAACUAGUGUGGGACUCAUUUCCUUAGUAACGUAGCUAACGCGUGAAGUUGACCGCUGGGGAGUACGGUCGCAAGAUUAAAACUCAAAGGAAUUGACGGGGACCCGCACAAGCGGUGGAUGAUGUGGAUUAAUUCGAUGCAACGCGAAAAACCUUACCUACCCUUGACAUGCCACUAACGAAGCAGAGAUGCAUUAGGUGCUCGAAAGAGAAAGUGGACACAGGUGCUGCAUGGCUGUCGUCAGCUCGUGUCGUGAGAUGUUGGGUUAAGUCCCGCAACGAGCGCAACCCUUGUCUCUAGUUGCUACGAAAGGGCACUCUAGAGAGACUGCCGGUGACAAACCGGAGGAAGGUGGGGAUGACGUCAAGUCCUCAUGGCCCUUAUGGGUAGGGCUUCACACGUCAUACAAUGGUGCAUACAGAGGGUUGCCAAGCCGCGAGGUGGAGCUAAUCCCAGAAAAUGCAUCGUAGUCCGGAUCGUAGUCUGCAACUCGACUACGUGAAGCUGGAAUCGCUAGUAAUCGCGGAUCAGCAUGCCGCGGUGAAUACGUUCCCGGGUCUUGUACACACCGCCCGUCACACCAUGGGAGUGGGUUUUGCC